AGAUUGAACGCUGGCGGCAGGCCUAACACAUGCAAGUCGAGCGGCAGCACGGGUACUUGUACCUGGUGGCGAGCGGCGGACGGGUGAGUAAUGCCUAGGAAUCUGCCUGGUAGUGGGGGAUAACGCUCGGAAACGGACGCUAAUACCGCAUACGUCCUACGGGAGAAAGCAGGGGACCUUCGGGCCUUGCGCUAUCAGAUGAGCCUAGGUCGGAUUAGCUAGUUGGUGGGUAAUGGCUCACCAAGGCGACGAUCCGUAACUGGUCUGAGAGGAUGAUCAGUCACACUGGAACUGAGACACGGUCCAGACUCCUACGGGAGGCAGCAGUGGGAAUAUUGGACAAUGGGCGAAAGCCUGAUCCAGCCAUGCCGCGUGUGUGAAGGAAGGUCUUCGGAUUAGGUAAAGCUAACUUUAAGGUUAGGGUAAGGAAGGGACGAGUUUACCUAAUACGUAAUCGUUGUUUUAGUACGUUUACCGAACUAGAAUAAAGCCGAACCGCUAACUCGUGUU
rnacentral:rRNA from 1 species